rnacentral:rRNA from 1 species
UACGGAGGAUGCAAGCGUUAUCCGGAUUUAUUGGGUUUAAAGGGUGCGUAGGCUGACCCAUAAGUCAGCGGUGAAAGUUUAAGGCUCAACCUUAAAAUUGCCGUUGAAACUGUGGAUCUAGAGUGUAAAUGAGGUAGGCGGAAUGCGUGGUGUAGCGGUGAAAUGCAUAGAUAUCACGCAGAACUCCAAUUGCGAAGGCAGCUUACUAGCAUACAACUGACGCUGAGGCACGAAAGCGUGGGUAUCGAACAGG